AAAAGAAAAGAAAAGAAAAGAAAAGAAAAGAAAAGAAAAGGAAUGUAAAUGCCUUGCUGCAAGAAGCAAAGUAAAAUGAUGCAGCUGGCGCAGCCGAGGAAAUUGGACCAACACAUUGCUGAUAGUAAGGCAUCAAUAAAACACUCUAUGAUGAAUUACGGAGGUCAUGCAUAUGGCAAAAAGUGAGUGAGUACCAGUGGCUGUGUGUUGAUUUACCAUCGACAUCAGAGCUAACACCAUCCAACCUGGAAACCCAACUGUGUGCUCCAUCCGUCACCAACCCAGAGCCAGCCCCCACUGCAUCCCCAGUAGCCCUGCAGGCAGCAGCAGGCAGCAUCCACCAGGAGUUAGGUGCUGCUGGAGCAAGCCCAGAGGUGUGCAGACCUUCAAAGACUGUGGGUAUGCCUAACUGUAUUCAUGUUAGGUGCCCUUUGACUUCAGCCACAACAGAGGUGAUCCCAUCGCAAGUGAAGGAAACUUCCACAAGGAUAGCUAUGUUAAAAAAAAUAAAUAAAUUAG
ensembl:lncRNA